AUGAUUUCCCGCCAAAAUGGCCGAUUUACAGCUAAAAAAAUAGUCCAUAAACGUUCCGUAUAAUGAUAUGCAAAUUCAUGAUUAAUCGUAACUUUUUUUUAUCUUUGUAUAAUAAAUAUAACAAAAUGGAUUCCACAAAAUUGAAAAUAGCAUUAUUUUACGAGGAUUUCUCAUAUUUUUCUCACUUCCGGCGCAGUAAUACGUAUGUUUUGAAGAAGCUCGAAGGAUUUGACAAAGUGAAUUGAGAAGGAAACGGAUAGAUAUACGUCCUUGCUAUCAGGGCACAAACCCACUUUAAAGAGACUUGUCUACUGCCAUACCAUUCCUAUUUUCAUGCUCCAUUUGCAAGCAAGAGACUGAAUGGUUUACAAAAUUAAAAAUCAGGACGGUGUCCAAUUAAAACAAAAGAACUAAACUGGAUGAAUAUUGUAGGAGAAAUCUAGAGGAAAGUUUUGAUUUGUGAAAUUGGUUUUCCUGAUAAGUCAUUCAUCCUAGCCUGCAGAAAGGAACUAUAACUGUCCACCACCAACUGACGAGCUAAUGUUGAGCUUCACAUAUGGAAUUACUCAAAUACCAUCAAUGUCUAUGUUUUCAGCACAGAUUUCACAAGUUAUGACAAAGCUGUGCUUUUUUUUAUACCUGUUAAAGAGUUGUAUACUAAAUUUAAUUUUUUUAUCAAUAAAUAUAUAUUGUGUCA